rnacentral:rRNA from 1 species
GACGAACGCUGGCGGCGUGCCUAAUACAUGCAAGUAGAACGCUGAAGGCGGAGCUUGCUUCUCUGGAUGAGUUGCGAACGGGUGAGUAACGCGUAGGUAACCUGCCUGGUAGCGUGGGAUAACUAUUGGAAACGAUAGCUAAUACCGCAUAAUAGCUGUUGUUGCAUGACAACUGUUUGAAAGGUGCAAUUGCUCCACUACCAGAUGGACCUGCGUUGGAUUAGCUAGUUGGUGGGGUAACGGCUCACCAAGGCGACGAUACAUAGCCGACCUGAGAGGGUGGGCGGCCACACUGAGACUGAGACACGGCCCAGAGUGCUACGGGAGGCAGCAGUAGGGAAUCGUCAGGAAUGGACGGAAGUCUGACCGAGCAACGCCGCGUGAGUGAAGAAGGUUUUCGGGUCGUAAAGCACUGUUGUAAGAGAAGAAAGAGUGUGAGAGUGGAAAGUUCACAGAGUGACGGUAUCUUACCAGAAAGGGACGGCUAACUACGUG